GCGAAGUCAAAAACGCGAAAACGCGAAGUCGAAAACGAGAAAUCGGUUUCGCGUUUUCGCCUUCGCAAUUUCGCGUUUUCGCCCUAUAGAAUAUGUAAGGCGAAAACGCUAAAGCGCUAUUUAAAACGUAAAAUGGCAUUAAUCUGCCACCACAGUUGUCCGCAUGUAAACUUCUAGAAUUUGUCACCAACAUAAGUACAUCGCAAUCCGUUACUGUUUCAACAGCCACCGGUGUUUCAUGUGUGUAUUCUUAAACAAGUAUUUU
rnacentral:lncRNA from 1 species